rnacentral:rRNA from 1 species
UACAGAGGUCUCAAGCGUUGUUCGGAUUCAUUGGGCGUAAAGGGUGCGUAGGCGGCGAGGCAAGUCUGGUGUGAAAUCCCGGGGCUCAACCCCGGAACUGCACUGGAUACUGCUUUGCUAGAGUACUGGAGAGGGAACUGGAAUUUACGGUGUAGCAGUGAAAUGCGUAGAUAUCGUAAGGAAGACCAGCGGCGAAGGCGAGUUCCUGGACAGUUACUGACGCUGAGGCACGAAGGCCAGGGGAGCAAAC